AUAAAGCCGGAAGACGUUCUCUCUCCUCUCUCCUUGCCAUGGAGGCAUCUCCCGCCUCUCCACCCGCCCCAGUCCCCACUCUCCUCCCUUGCUCCGAAGGGAAGAAAUCCUUUGAGCCCAACACUGAAGCCAUCAAGUAGCGGCUCCUCUGCUGAGGCGUCUUCCGCACUCCUCUGCCAAGUGAAGGAAGAAGCCCUCACGGACGAAUCCCCAUACUUGUCUGCGUCCCUAAGGCAAGCCCUAGAGGAGGAAGCCCAUUUCCGCACCGUCUUCACCUGGUACGGUGCCGUGCGGAAGGAGCGAGAAGGUGCUAGUGCUUGCCGAGAAAACACGGGAGAGGUCGGAUAAGGUUGCAAACCACAACAAAUCCACUCCAAGAAGCUUCUCUUUCCAUAGGAUGGGGGCGACGGCAAACGAGACGGCGUGGUGAGGUUUGCCGACUCAGGCUGAAGGAGCUUCGGGCGGCCACCGAUGGCUUCUCCCCCGACCUCAUCGUCUUGGAGGCCACCUCCUCAACAGCGACCGCCCCGUCGCCGUUAGACACUCCCACAAUUUCGCCUGGCCCGACCCCACCACGGUUCCUCGAUGUAAUCUCAGGCUGUCUUGUUUUGGCUUCAUGUAGCAAAGCAGAAAUGAGAAGAGUUAUAGCACAAACUUGGCAUUCACACCUCCAGAUUGCCUCCGGACAGAUGCAAAUUCUGUAGGCAUGUUUACUGGACUUCUUCAUGUUUAAGCAUUUUGGUGGGUCAAACUUGUUAUAUUGGUUCUGUUCAUGCAUUGUUUGCCUAAUGCAAUGCAGGACCUGGUUCAUGUAUGGUGAGAAAAAGUUGUUUGCAUUGUUUGAAAUUUUGGUGGGGUGUUCUAUUGAAACAAAAAUAUUCAAUUUUUAAACUUUUGCUUUGCUAUUUUUCUUUUUUUUGUUAAUUCUUACUGCUUGUAUCUUUUAAAAGGUGUCAUACUAUUGAAAGUAAAGGUUCCAGAUUGUCGAAUAUACUCUAAAAUGAUAUUUAGAAUACCUUUUCUCUUUUCUUUUUGUCCAACAUAUUUUUGCUGAUCAAUAAUCUGUUUUUGUGGUUAGCUGCAACUUCAAAGGUAAAGAGAAAUGGUGAAUCUAUUAAAAAAAAGAAAAAGCAAAAGAAAAAAAAAAUCCUCUGCCCUGGCCAAAACUCGACGCAUGAACUUUGCUGUUGGUAUCAUAGGAAUGACCCCACAAGAAUAUCUUUUGCACAUCUUUACGUAACCAUUAUACUCUUUUUUGAGAUCUCUGUUCUGCAUGUUCUUCCCCAAAUGAAUUUCCUGCUUGGAUCACGAUGUAUAGGCAUUCAGUCUUUAGCUAUUAGGUUGCAUGGAAGCUGUAAUAGAAUGCUAAAAUUUCCAUGCAACUAGCUUUACUUUUCCUUCUUGGCUAUUGAAAUCUACAGUGUGCAUGAAAACUAAAACUUAUUCUGUUCAAAGUUGGAAAGCAUCAUAUAUCAUAUCAGAUCCAUUUGGCAGGGAGAGUGACGCAGGAGAGUAUAAAAUGCAGCUUUGGAACUCUACUGCUUGACCUUCUUAGUAGAAAUCAUAUUCCCCCAAGCCAUGUAAGUUCUCUGACAAAUUAUGCUUGGCAUUGCCUGAUUUUAAGCUGAGUUUGAUAACAGUACAUAGUAAAUGUUAAUUUACUUGAAUGAUUUGGAAGAUGUCAAGAUAUUUCUACAUAAAAUCACACUAAGCAGUAGCUUAAUAUAUACCUUGGUCUUUAUGCUCUGAAGGACAGGAAACUCUUAACUCUGCUGCCAGGGCAGAAGGUUAUUAUGUUAAGCUAAGAUUCUAGUACUUUUACUAAUUUUUUUUCCUUUGACUACCCUUGACAUGUCAUCCUUUAGAAACUUGGGUAUUAUUGUAAGUUGAAAAUGUUUGUGGUUGAGAUUUCAAGUGGAAUUACCUUGUUUAGAGCAUCUAGUUACAAACAGUGAAGGUGAAUUCCCUUGAAACCAGAAUGCUUUAUCUGGAAGACCAUCAUGCAGCCAGAUGUAUGCCCACGUAAGUAUUUGUAAGCAGCCUAACAUAUAAACUUGUGCACACCACAAAGUAAUUUGACAUUGUCAAGUGGUUUUAUGGUGAUAUUAAUUUCUGUGUAUGGCAUUUUUAAUCUGAAUAGAGUGUUACAAAGUGCAUGUGCUUCCAUUUAAGCAUCUACAUCUUUUAGGCCUCUUGUUUAUGCAUGUAUGGUCGAAGCUUUAUACUGUCACUUGUAGUGACAUUGUCAUUUAUUGCCUCUACCUUUUCAAUCUUAAAUGUACAUUGCAAAAUAGCAGGGAAAAACAGAUGGGAACUUCUGUGGCUUUACUCAUGCUAGUGUUAGAAAAUAUUAUUUUCUUUAUUAUCCUCUUUUUACUUAUCUGUUUUGUGCCUGGACAGAACAAUUUUACCACCAUAAGUCAUGAAUUCAAGGCACUAACAUAGAUUUUUUUGCUGCAGGCACUUGACCGGUAUGUGGCAAUAAUUUUCUAGUGCUGAUGGAUUCUUGUUUGGACGGGCAUUUUGCCCAUGCUGAUGGGACUGAACUAGCAGGAUUGGCUUCUCAGCAUUUGCAAUGUGAACCUCAUUGAGAGGCCAAAUCUGAAGUCAUUAGUGACUCUUUUUAAAUCUCUUCAGAAAGAUGCAGAUGUAAGGUUUUCCCUUGGAAUCUCUGUUUUGGAUUGUUAACAAUCUCCUUGCUGUCACGCAUUUCUUUUCUUGUGAAAUUACUGAAAUUCUCAACGCA